GGUGUGCACUUUAGAAUAUCUCUAGAUAAAAUGUGAUAUCGACUGGACUAAUAGUGUACUUUGACAAUUCGACGAUAAGUUCAAAUCAAAUGAACUUUAAAUAGCCUUGUCAUUUGUCCACAGUAAGUUCACCAAUAUAAGAGAAAUCCCUAAACUCACCAAAUGUUGAUGAAGUAUUUCCUGUCUUGUGUGACAGUUCUGUGUUGCACACUCGUUGUGACCAAUGCGAGCCUGGAAAUCAAGAUAGAACAGGGAGUACUGAAGGGAUGGUUUGAUAUAACUAGGAAAGGCAGAAUUUUCCGUUCGUUUACGGGAAUUCCAUUCGCGGAGCCGCCAUUGGAAGCGCUUCGUUUUAAGCCACCAGUUCCAGCUAAGCCAUGGCAGGGUGUUCUGGAUGCCACAAGAAGUCAUGCCAGUUGCCCACAAGUAAACGUAUACAUUGGCGACUUCACCAUAAAGGGAGACGAAGACUGUCUAUACCUAAACGUAUAUGCACCAGAGAAUGCCAAAGAUCACCCCCUUCCAGUGAUGUUCUUUAUUCAUGGAGGAGGCUGGAUGUGCGGCACCUCAGAUUCAGAGCUCUAUGGAGCACAAACACUAUUAGACCAAGAGGUCGUGUUGGUUACAACUAAUUACAGGUUAGGUGCACUGGGUUUUAUGAGUACCGGUGAUUUAGUUCUACCCGGCAACAAUGGAUUGAAGGAUCAAAAUUUGGCCUUAAAAUGGGCGAAAAAUAAUAUUAGACAAUUUGGGGGCAAUCCCGACAAAAUCACGAUCUUUGGGCAAUCGGCCGGCGCAGCCAGCACCCACUUUCACACUUUAUCACCACUUAGCCGAGAUUUGAUAUCGGGCGCUAUUAUUCAAAGUGGAAGUGCCCUUGCACCUUGGGCAAUCAGCUUGAAACCACUUGAUUAUGCAAAAAGGUUGGCGGGCUAUGUAAACUGUCCAAAUCAUUCUAGUGAGGCAAUAGUAGAAUGCAUGAGGACUGUAGAUCCAUACGAAAUCGUCCAGAAAGAGCAACGGCUGUUGGAAUACGGCUAUGACCCCAUGAUUCCCUUUAAACCGGUAGUGGAACCGUCUCAUGAAGGUGCGUUUCUCACUGAGGAGCCAGCUGUAAUUAUUAGAUCGAGGAAAAGUGCUCGGGUGCCCCUAAUGACUGGUUUCACAACAGAAGACGGUGCAAUUAAAUCUUCUGCAUUAUUUAAAGACGAGAAAUUGAUUGAAGAACUGAAUUCAGAUUUUAACAGAAUCGCACCAUUGAUUUUUGUAUAUGACCAAGCCACGUACAAUACAACCGGGCUUUCUGAAAAGAUCCGAAAGUUUUAUCUUGGUGACAGACCAAUUGACGAAUCCUCCAAGGCACCAUUGACUAAUGCCUUUACCGAUACAUGGUUUUAUGUUGCAACAGACUCAGUAAUAAGAAUGCACACUAACUACUGCAAUAAUCCAGUUUAUUUUUACCUAUUUGGAUACCAAGGGGGUGCAACCUUUACUACAGUAUUUAAGCAUCCUGAAGACCAAUAUAACUAUGGUUCUUGCCAUUGCGACGAACUAAUUUACUUAUUUCGCCAAGGAUAUGUGGCUAAACCAAGAGAAGAAAGUGAAGAAGAUAAGCGCAUGACGGAUGUAAUAGUCGCACUGUGGACUAAUUUUGCAAGAACAGGCAAUCCAACACCUCCUAAUGAUAAGUUAUUGACAAUAAAAUGGAAUCCUGUUAGUAGCAAAAAACACGAGUACUAUCUCAUAGAUAAACAUGGCCGUAUGAGUAUGGGGGAAAAUUGGGAGCCCGGAAGGUUGAGCUUUGCAAGGAAAAUUAAGUUUAAUUCCAGGUGGAACGAAGUCAGAGAUGAGUUAUAGGGAAGAUUAAAGUUCUUAAUGAAAUACGAUUGGUUUUUUGCCAACAUAUUCAAAGCUUUAUGCAUCACUCAAGUACAUCGAAGCUGGAACUAACUGAAAUACGCUGCAAUUUGCUUAUACAGUAAACGACAAUUGUUCUAGAACGAUUCGAAAUGUUCUACAACUUCAUUCUUCCCGGAAAGAUUGCAUCACAUUCGCCUUCGCUCAUAUCACCGAUGACUAAUUUUUUAUGGCGCCUCGAUGACUAUCGGCUUUUCUGGAAUAUUAGCACAGAUUUAAAUAUACUAAAUCUGUGCAAUAAGUUUGUGUUUAAUUUUGUUAGCAGGCAAGUUCCGAAAUCAAGUGAUAAAUCUUAUUUUCAGGGAGAACGGAAAGAACUCUCAUUAACUCUUCAUCAUAAAAUUUGUUAAGAGCUAGCCAAGGGAGGAUCAAUCCAUUUAUUGCAAAAAGCCUAUUGCACUUUUGUGACAAUGGACAUCCAUCGUCUGUCCAACGUACACAAAUAGACCCACAACGGACAUCCAUUUGUACAUAGACGGACAUCAGUCAUGGUCCAUGGGUCUACUUUGUGCUAUAUGGGUUCAAAAAUUUUGGAGAUCGAGAUGCGCUACAUCACAUCAUGGAAGAUUAAUGAUAAAGACGGUCAAGGUGGUACCAAAAUCAAUGCAAUACCGAUUUGCCACCGUUGGGCAAAUAUGGUUUUUUCCUAAAGCACCAAGGUUUUGCAACUGCCUUAUUACAAUAAAAUUGUGAAUAUUAUUUUUUUAUGUUUCGGACACAAAAAGUCGUUCGUUUGGAAAAGGUU